GACGAACCGUGCGAACGUUAUUCGGAAUCACUGGGCUUAAAGCGCGUGUAGGCGGGAGGGCACGUCCGUCGCUGAAAUCCCCCGGCUCAACCGGGGAACGGGCACGGAUACGACCUUCCUGGAGGGGCGUAGGGGGACCUGGAACUUCCGGUGGAGCGGUGAAAUGCGUUGAGAUCGGAAGGAACGCCCGUGGCGAAGGCGGAUCUCUGGGCCAUUACUGACGCUGAGGAGCGAAAGCGUGGGGAGCGAACAGG
rnacentral:rRNA from 1 species